rnacentral:rRNA from 1 species
GAUGAACGCUAGCUACAGGCUUAACACAUGCAAGUCGAGGGGCAGCAUGGUCUUAGCUUGCUAAGGCCGAUGGCGACCGGCGCACGGGUGAGUAACACGUAUCCAACCUGCCGUCUACUCUUGGACAGCCUUCUGAAAGGAAGAUUAAUACAAGAUGGCAUCAUGAGUCCGCAUGUUCACAUGAUUAAAGGUAUUCCGGUAGACGAUGGGGAUGCGUUCCAUUAGAUAGUAGGCGGGGUAACGGCCCACCUAGUCUUCGAUGGAUAGGGGUUCUGAGAGGAAGGUCCCCCACAUUGGAACUGAGACACGGUCCAAACUCCUACGGGAGGCAGCAGUGAGGAAUAUUGGUCAAUGGGCGCAGGCCUGAACCAGCCAAGUAGCGUGAAGGAUGACUGCCCUAUGGGUUGUAAACUUCUUUUAUAAAGGAAUAUAGUCGGGUAUGUAUACCCGUUUGCAUGUACUUUAUGAAUAAGGAUCGGCUAACUCCGUG